rnacentral:rRNA from 1 species
CUUUCCGGUUGAUCCUGCCGGACCUGACUGCUAUCGGAUUGGUACUAAGCCAUGUGAGUCAUUGUAGCAAUACAAGGCAUACGGCUCAGUAACACGUGGUCAAUCUAACCUAUGGACGGGGAUAACCUCGGGAAACUGAGGAUAAACCCCGAUAGAUCAUAAUGCCUGGAACGGUUUAUGGUCCAAACGAUUCGUCGCCAUAGGAUGGGACUGCGGCCUAUCAGCUUGUUGGUGAGGUAAUGGCCCACCAAGGCUAUUACAGGUACGGGCUCUGAGAGGAGAAGCCCGGAGAUGGGUACUGAGACACGGACCCAGGCCCUAUGGGACGCAGCAGGCGAGAAACCUUUGCAAUGUGCGCAAGCACGACAAGGUUAAUCCGAGUGUUUCCUGCUAAAGGAAUCUUUUGUUAGUUGUAAAACCACUGAUGAAUAAGGGGUGGGCAAGUUCUGGUGUCAGCCGCCGCGGUAAAACCAGCACCUCAAGGGGUCAGGAUGAUUAUUGGGCCUAAAGCAUCCGUAGCCUGUUCUGUAAGUUUCCGGUUAAAUCCAUUAGCUCAACUAAU